AUGGACUUGAUUAGAUUAAUCCGCCUGUUACCUCUAUCCGCAUUGCAUCAACCGUACCUAGCCUGGAUUGCUCCGGAGAUCCCAUUUCUCGAAGGCAUCGCCAUGGAGGGGUCGGUGAAGUGCGACGCCAACUACACGCCCCUCACGCCGCUGAGCUUCCUGGAGCGCGCCGCGCUCGUGUACGGGGCGCGCACGGCCGUCGUCUUCGGCGAGAAGGAGUACUCGUGGCGCGACAUGAGGGAGCGGUGCCUCGCCGGGGCGUCCGCGCUCGCGCGCCUCGGCGUCGGCCGCCGGGAUGUGGUGGCGGUGCUGGCCGCGAACACGCCGGCCAUGUACGAGCUGCACUUCAGCGUGCCGAUGACUGGCGGUGUGCUGUGCACGCUCAACACCCGGCACGACGCGGCCAUGGUGUCCGUCCUCCUGAGCCACUCGGAGGCCAGAGUCUUCCUCGUCGAGUCGCAGUUCCUCGGCGUUGCACGCGACGCCCUGGCGCUCCUCGCCGGCGCCGGAGCCAUACCGCCUCUCCUUGUCAUGAUUGCCGAUGAUGACGGCGGCGGCGACAGGGAUGGCGUGCUGGAGUACGAGGCCCUGCUGAGGAGCGCGCCGGGCGGCUUCGAGAUCAGGUGGCCCGCCGACGAGUGCGACCCGAUAUCCCUCAACUACACGUCGGGGACGACGUCGCGGCCCAAGGGCGUCAUCUACAGCCACCGCGGCGCCUAUCUCAACACGCUGGCCACGGCGCUCGCCAACGAGAUGCCGACCAUGCCGGUAUACCUCUGGACCGUGCCCAUGUUCCACUGCAACGGGUGGUGCAUGGUGUGGGCCACGGCGGCGCAGGGCGGCACCAGCGUCUGCAUGGCCGGGAGCUUGGCUCCCAAGACCGUCUUCGAGCACAUCGUGCGGCACAGGGUGACCAACAUGGGCGGCGCGCCCACGGUGCUGAGCAUGCUCGUGAACGCGCCGGCAUCGGAGCAGAGGCAGCUGCCGGUCAAGGUGCGCAUCUCCACAGGCGGCGCACCUCCGCCGCCGCACAUCCUGGCCAAGAUGGACGAGCUCGGGUUCAACGUCGUCCACGGGUAUGGACUCACCGAAACGUAUGGACCGGCGACGCUUUGCGUGUGGAAGCCGGAGUGGGACGCGCUGCCGGCCGCCGAGCGCGCGCGGAUCAGGGCGCGGCAGGGCGUGCCGCACGUGAUGCUGGAGGGCCUGGAAAUCAAGGACCCGGCGACCAUGGAGAGUGUGCCCUCCGACGGGCGCACCGUGGGCGAGGUCAUGCUCCGGGGGAACACGGUGAUGAGCGGGUACUACAAGGACCCGGCGGCCACGGCGGAGGCCAUGAGCGGCGGGUGGCUGCGUUCAGGGGACCUGGGCGUGCGGCACCCCGACGGAUACAUCCAGCUCAAGGACCGGUCCAAGGACAUCAUCAUAUCGGGCGGCGAGAACAUCAGCUCCAUCGAGGUGGAGUCGGCGCUGUUCGGCCACCCCGCCGUGCUCGACGCGGCGGUGGUCGCCAGGCCGGACGAGCACUGGGGCGAGACGCCGUGCGCGUUCGUCACCCUCAAGGACGGAGCGAGCGCCACGGAGGCUGACAUCAUCGAAUUCUGCCGGACACGGCUGCCGCGCUACAUGGCGCCCAAGACGGUGGUCUUCGCCGAGCUGCCCAAGACUUCGACGGGCAAGACGCAGAAGUAUCUGCUCCGUGAGAAGGCCAGGGCCAUGGGAAGCCUGCCUCCUAAGCUGAGCACAAGCAAACUGUAG
rnacentral:rRNA from 1 species